rnacentral:lncRNA from 10 species
GAAAAAUAAUAGUGGCCCUGAAGGAAUAAAUUCCAGCUUUAAAAACCAAGUCUGAGGAAAUAUUUGGCUUCAUAAAGUAAAGAGACGGUUUGGCAUUUAUUAUUACUUUUUCCUGUAUUUUAUGCCCAUAAAAUAAGCUUUAUAAAAACCAAUUUCCUGAUGGACUAUUAAAUUCAUCUUAGAAUAAAUUAGUGAAGAAUUUAAUUUUAGAAUAAAUAAUCCAAUCUGAAAUAAUUAUACCUUCUUUCCUUGUUAGGUAGUUAUGAGUAAAUCUGCAAAAGGCAAUGAAAAUGCCUUAAAUUUUAUCAAUAACAGAAUUAUUGUAUUUAAAAAAAAACUAAUACUUAUCUUUAAAAUAGUAAAUAGGAUUUUAAACAGAGAAUUUUAUCAGUAAUAGGUGUCAGUUUUUAAAAAAUUGCUUGUAGGCUGAGCGCGGUGGCUCACGCCUGUAAUCCCAGCACUUUGGGAGGCCAAGGUGGGUGGACCACAUGAGGUCAAGAGAUCAAGAUCAUCCUGGCCAACAUGGUGAAACCCUGUCUCUACUAAAAAUACAAAAAUGAGCUGGGCAUGGUGGGGCGUGCCUGUAGUCCCAUGUACUUGGGAGGCUGAGGCAGGAAAAUUCUUGAACCCAGGAGACGGAAGUUGCAGUGAGCUGAGAUCACACCACUGCACUCCAGCCUGGUGACAGAGCAAGACUCCGGCUCUU